rnacentral:rRNA from 1 species
CAUGCAAGUCGAACGGUAACAGCACUUCGGUGGCUGACGAGUGGCGAACGGGUGAGUAAUACAUCGGAACGUGCCUAGUAGUGGGGGAUAACUACUCGAAAGAGUAGCUAAUACCGCAUGAGAUCUAAGGAUGAAAGCAGGGGACCUUCGGGCCUUGCGCUACCAGAGCGGCUGAUGGCAGAUUAGGUAGUUGGUGGGAUAAAAGCUUACCAAGCCGACGAUCUGUAGCUGGUCUGAGAGGACGACCAGCCACACUGGGACUGAGACACGGCCCAGACUCCUACGGGAGGCAGCAGUGGGGAAUUUUGGACAAUGGGCGCAAGCCUGAUCCAGCAAUGCCGCGUGCAGGAUGAAGGCCUUCGGGUUGUAAACUGCUUUUGUACGGAACGAAAAGCCCUCUUCUAAUACAGGAGGGUCAUGACGGUACCGUAAGAAUAAGCACCGGCUAACUACGUGCCAGCAGCCGCGGUAAUACGUAGGGUGCAAGCGUUAAUCGGAAUUACUGGGCGUAAAGCGUGCGCAGGCGGUUUUGUAAGACAGAGGUGAAAUCCCCGGGCUCAACCUGGGAACUGCCUUUGUGACUGCAAGGCUAGAGUACGGCAGAGGGGGAUGGAAUUCCGCGUGUAGCAGUGAAAUGCGUAGAUAUGCGGAGGAACACCGAUGGCGAAGGCAAUCCCCUGGGCCUGUACUGACG